rnacentral:rRNA from 1 species
UAGGGAAUCUUCGGCAAUGGACGAAAGUCUGACCGAGCAACGCCGCGUGAGUGAAGAAGGUUUUCGGAUCGUAAAACUCUGUUGGUAGAGAAGAACGUUGGUGAGAGUGGAAAGCUCGUCAAGUGACGGUAACUACCCAGAAAGGGACGGCUAACUACGUGCUAG